UGGUCAUUUUAAAAUAUCUUGGACCUAACUGUCAUUCAUCCAAACCUCAAGAAUGUUUGCUGGAAUUUACCCUAAAAAAAACACCAACAAAUAAAAGCCCAAGGCAUGUUUUUCAAAUAUCAACAGAUGGCCCAACCCGUUUUUAGCCCAACAGGGUUUAACGUUAUAAAGUGACUUGGUUUGGUUCUCCAGUAACACAGUUCAACUCCAGCAUCUCUCCCUGAAAUUCUCUCUUUGUAACAGUAAUUAGAAGAACUCCCUCACUCUCUCAUUUUGAAGUAUUUACUAAAGCAAUAGUCUGGGAACCGUAAAUGUCCACUAAGCGAGCUGCAAUUCUCACAAACACAGCACUAUCCAAGGUAUGUUCUUCACUCAACUCCUCAAAUUCAAGAAAAACCCUCACCUUCCUCAAGAAUCUUAGCACUGCCGCUCAAAGAUUAGAUUUUGAAAACACCAAUGGGUCUCAGUGCCAAGUAGAUGAUUAUUUAGAAUAUCAACAAAAACAUAGUGAGAGCCAAAACCCUGCAGAUUUUCAUCACAAAUCAAACCCCAAUGAGGGUUAUAGAGAAAGCAAUACAAACGAUUUUGUAAGUUACCCAGUUGGGCAAAAUGGGAGUUUUAGUGGGUUUAAUGAGCAAAAUGAGUUUUACCAUAAUUCUAGUGGGGUUUAUAGGGAGAGCUUUAGAAGUACAUAUCUGAAGAAGCCAGCUGGGCAAAAUGGAAAUUUUAGAGGAAAUUGUGGUCAAAAUGUUGGGCAGGUGCAGCAGAACCUAACUGGGAUUCAUACUAAUAAUUUAACAAGUUUGGAGCAGAAUUCAAGUGGGUUUUAUAGGGAAAGCACAAGGGAUGGAUUUCAGAAUCACUCAGUUCAGCAAAAUGGGAAUUUUGGUGGGAAUUAUGGGUAUAACAAUGGAGAGUUCUUGCAGAACCAUAAUGUAUAUGGGGGAAAUGGACAUAUACAAAAUUCAUGUGGGUCGUCCCACAAGGGUGCUAGUGAAGUGAGGCAGAACCCAUAUGGGUUUGAUUCCCAAGGCCUUUCAGAAUCUCAGGGAAGCCUAAAUGGGAACUACAGACAAAACUGUGGGCAAACUCAGCAAGCCCCAGGUGAUCAUAACUUGGGCAAUGUUGGAAUGUUUCAGCAUAGCCGAAGCUCUGGACAGUAUCAGCAGAACCAACAUGUCGUACAAUAUCCGCCAAACUUGAAUACUUUUCGGGGUAUGACAGAGGGUUCUCAAUUAUCAAAUAAUCCAAAACAAGAGGGGAAAUUUUCAGAGACACCUGAGAGUCACCAAUAUCCUGGUACUCUUGAGGAGCUAGAUGGUUUUUGCAAUGAGGGGAAAGUGAAGGAAGCUGUGGAAGUUUUAGGGUUGUUAGUUAAGCAAUGUCAACCUGUGGAUUUGCCCCGAUAUUUUCAGUUAAUGUGGGAGUGUGGUGAGGCUCAAUCUCUGCAGGAAGCAAAAUCUGUUCAUGAACACAUCAUAAGAUCACUCUCACCACUAGAAGUGAGUACCUAUAACAGAAUCAUAGAGAUGUAUGGGAAAUGUGGUUCUAUGGAUGAUGCGUUCAUGGUGUUUAAUGCAAUGCCAACCUGCAAUUUGACGUCGUGGGACACUAUGAUGACAUGGCUUGCUAAGAAUGGUCUUGGGGAGGAUGCCAUUAAUUUGUUCACUCAGUUCAAGAAAACAGGAAUGAAGCCUGAUGGUCGAAUGUUGAUUGGUGUUUUAUCUGCUUGUAGUGUUUUGGGAGACAUUGAUGAGGGAAUGUUGCACUUUGAAUCAAUGAUCAAGGAUUAUGGCAUAGCCCCAUCCAUGGAUCAUUAUGUGAAGGUAAUAGACAUGCUAGGAAGUACAGGAUAUCUGGAUGAAGCUUUUGAGUUCAUAGAAAAGAUGCCAUUGGAGCCAAGUGUUAAUAUAUGGGAAACCUUGAUGGAUCUCUGCAGAGUUCAUGGGCACAUGGAGCUUGGUGAUCGCUGUGCUGAGCUUGUUGAGCAGCUGGACCCCGCACGCAUGAAUGAGCAAACGAAGGAUGGCCUUCUACCUGUAAAACCUUCAGACCUUGCAAAACAGAAAGAGAAGAAGAAACUAGCAAGUCAAAGUCUUUUAGAAGUUAGGAGCCGGGUCCAUGAAUAUCGAGCGGGAGAUAGAUCUCAUCCUAACACUGAUAAGCUCUAUGCAGAACUUAGGCAUUUAAGGGAACAAAUGAAGGAGGCUGGUUACAUACCAGAGACUAGAUUUGUGUUGCAUGACAUAGACCAUGAAUCCAAGGAGGAAGCUCUUCUUGCUCAUAGUGAGAGACUUGCUAUUGCCGAUGGUCUCCUUAACAGUCCAGUUCGUUCACCCAUUAGGAUAAUCAAGAAUCUUCGUGUUUGUGGUGAUUGCCAUACAGCACUAAAGGUCAUCUCAAAGAUCGUUGGCAGAGAAUUGAUCAUACGAGAUGCUAAGAGGUUCCACCAUUUCAAAGAUGGGUUGUGCUCUUGCCGGGAUUAUUGGUGAAAAAAGAAACUUGAGGGAAUCAAUGGUGCAGACACCACAUGAUAGCACAUUUGUGGAGAUUAUCGUAUUAGUAUUUGAGAUUGAAUAGGAUUUGUUUAGGAGAGUUUAUCUUUGUCAUUAUAAUUCCUGGAAGCUGUAUAUAAAGCUCCAGAUGGUUCCUUUUGUAUUAUACAGACUAUUAUUAUUAUUAUUAUUGAGAUUAUUUGCAGAGAUUGCAUUAUGUUUGUUUGGUGGUGAAUCCAAACACCUUCGGUGGGAAGCCUAAGGUCUACGGUAGGACUAAUCUAGGUGGGAAGCCUAGGUUGUCCUACAUCAAUCAACUUUUGCAAAAAUUAAGGGUAAAGUUGCCUACUAACCACUUCUCCUAGACCUCGUAGAAGUGAGAGGCCUUAUGCAUUUGGUCUUGCUGUAGAGAUUUCAAGGAAAAGCCAUGGUUGUUACUCACAGGAAACUAGUGAAGAAAAACAAACACAACUUGCCUAGAGAACUCAGGAAGUCAGCAACUAAUCAUUGCCCCUGUGGUGGAUGAUUUUUUACUAUUAUCAGUGUCUUGGCUCCAUGAAGGUAUGAUGAGGCAAACAAUUGGAAAGUGGUUCACUCUCAGUCACACUGAAGCACUAUUCUUUCAAGUCCUCUUAGAUAAAUUUUCUGCUGUCUAUGUGAACUAGCAGUAGCCAUCUAUAUAUUGUUAAAACAUCAAGUUCAAAUCCCCACUUAUCCCAAAAAAAAAACAAGUUCAACCCCCAAUUUUGAUGGUAAAGGUUGGUUGUCAACCAUUAUUAUAGUUCUUC